rnacentral:piRNA from 1 species
UUAGACAUUAUUGUUUGGGAUUAAAGUGU